UAAUACGGAGGAUCCAGGCGUUAUCCGGAUUUAUUAGGUUUAAAGGGUGCGUAGGCGGGAUAAUAAGUCAGUGGUGAAAGCCUGCAGCUUAACUGUAGAAUUGCCAUUGAAACUGUUAUCCUUGAGUAUAGUUGAGGUGGGCGGAAUGUGACAUGUAGCGGUGAAAUGCUUAGAUAUGACACAGAACACCGAUUGCGUAGGCAGCUCACUAAACUAUCACUGACGCUGAGGCACGAAAGCGUGGGGAGCGAACAGGAUUAGAUACCCUGGUAGUCCACGCUGUAAACGAUGAUUACUCGUUGUGUGCGAUAUAUUGUACGUGACUGAGCGAAAGCAUUAAGUAAUCCACCUGGGGAGUACGUCGGCAACGAUG
rnacentral:rRNA from 1 species